CACGUGGGUGAUCUGCCCUGCACUUCGGGAUAAGCUUGGGAAACUGGGUCUAAUACCGGAUAGGAGCCAUCUUUAGUGUGGUGGUUGGAAAGUUUUUCGGUGUAGGAUGAGCUCGCGGCCUAUCAGCUUGUUGGUGGGGUAAUGGCCUACCAAGGCGGCGACGGGUAGCCGGCCUGAGAGGGUGUACGGCCACAUUGGGACUGAGAUACGGCCCAG
rnacentral:rRNA from 1 species